ACAUCAACUUCAUCAGUCUCAACAGAAUUGUGACCUCCAGAAACAAAAUCAAGUUCUUGUUUCACUUCUAUUGAAUUCAUUGGAAUCUCUGCAUCCACUAAAUUGUGGGGAGCCAGUCGGACAGAAUCUUCAGGAACAGUAUCUGGUAGGCACUGGGUGGAUGAUUCUCCUGUGCCAGCACUCCACCUUCUCAAUACAGAUUUAUUUGCACUAAUAGAGAUGUCAGCUAAUGACCUCUUCUGAAUAUCUGCGGCCUGAUCUUUCUGUUUGCUUUCAAAAAGAUUAAUUGCAUCUUGAACGCUCAUCCUUCCUACAUUAUUUUCAGGUUUUUUAUAGGGUUGCUCAGAUCCUUCAUCCUCGCUACUGUUUGCGGCAGCAUCUCUAUGUGAUAAUACCCUUUCCCUAGCAGGAAAAUAAUUAAGGCUCUUAAUGGUUAAGGCAGUGGCCCGGCGUGAUCCAGUUCUCCCUAUUUGU
rnacentral:lncRNA from 1 species